rnacentral:lncRNA from 1 species
AGGCUCUGCAGUGAAGGAAGGGAAUUAUCAGGAUGACAGGCCUUACUGGAUCCUCAUCAACAUCUUCUACUAUGUCCUGAAGAUUGAUAUUGGAAAAGCAGUUUCCCAUUGAAUCUCAAGUGAAGAGAGAGUGAAGAUGAAAAGGAAGUAGGAUUCACAAGCCCUUGACCCUCAUACUAGACCCAUUACCACCAACAGUACCUUGCACUGGGAUUUCAUCUGCACCAUCAGCUUCUUCAAAGAGAGAGAGGUUGUUGACUCUUCAUGUGGAUGUCUGAGCUCAUAUCAGGUCUGAAGGAGGCAGAUUCUGAGGAUUUGAGUCAUGAUGGCUGCCAAAGCUUCUACUCCUGAUUUAAAGGGCAACAAUCCUAGGAGACCAGCAGCACUUACAUCCCUGGUAGGAUAUGACACCUGCAUAUGGUCCAGAAGUGACAAAAGCUAAUUAUCAGGAUGGCAGUCCUUAUAACCAGAUGCUUAUCAACAUUCUUCACUGCAUUCUGAAGAUGAAUUUCUACACGGGAAAUUGUUGAUAUUUGUUUUUAGCGGGCAGAUAAGGAAGGAAGAAAAAGGCCCUGGUGAGAAACCCAUUGUACCUUCUGGAUAUGAUCACUACC